rnacentral:rRNA from 1 species
GGGCCCGCACAAGCGGUGGAGCAUGUGGUUUAAUUCGAUGAUACGCGAGGAACCUUACCAGGGCUUAAAUGUGGUUUGACAGCUUUAGAGAUAGAGUUUUCUUCGGACAAAUCACAAGGUGCUGCAUGGUUGUCGUCAGCUCGUGCCGUGAGGUGUCAGGUUAAGUCCUAUAACGAGCGCAACCCCCAUCGUUAGUUGCCAACGAGUAAUGUCGGGAACUCUAACGAAACUGCCGGUGCAAACCGUGAGGAAGGUGGGGAUGACGUCAAAUCAUCACGGCCCUUACGUCCUGGGCUACACACGUGCUACAAUGGUAGGUACAGAGGGCAGCUACACAGCGAUGUGAUGCGAAUCUCAAAAAGCCUAUCGUAGUCCAGAUUGGAGUCUGCAACUCGACUCCAUGAAGUAGGAAUCGCUAGUAAUCG